rnacentral:rRNA from 1 species
AUGAACAAAGUCAUUGUACCAGCGACCAGGACAUUCUUCACAAGUGGAGCGGAGCUAACACAGUUGCAGAGGAUCGGGAUUGGCCGUUUCCUAAUGAUCUUUGCCAUGGCAAUGGCUGCUCUUUUAGAAGCAAAGAGGCUAGAGAGCGUCCAGCAUGGCAAUCCAUUAAGCAUCGUGUGGCAGCUGCCGCAGUACUUCGUCAUCGCUGGGGCUGAAUGUUUUGUCAUCAUUGCUCAGCUGGAGUUCUUCCAUGGCCAGGCACCUGACUCCAUGAAGAGCAUGUUGACGGCGUUUGCGUUGCUCACCACUGCUCUCGGCAACUACUUGAGCUCAGCUAUCAUCACCCUUAUUGCGGGGCUGACUAGGGAAUGGCAGAGCCCUGGAUGGAUACCUGAUGACCUGAACGAAGGGCACCUUGACUACUUCUACUGGUGCCUUACAGCCAUCUCAUUUGUGAAUUUUAUUGUCUAUGUCUAUUUUGCUAGUAAAUACAGAUUAAAGAAAAUUGUUAUUGAUGGCUAA